rnacentral:rRNA from 1 species
UACGAAGGGGGCUAGCGUUGCUCGGAAUCACUGGGCGUAAAGCGCACGUAGGCGGAUGUGUCAGUCAGGGGUGAAAUCCCGGAGCUCAACUUCGGAACUGCCUUUGAUACAGCACAUCUGGAGUCCGGAAGAGGUGGGUGGAAUUCCUAGUGUAGAGGUGAAAUUCGUGGAUAUUAGGAAGAACACCGGUGGCGAAGGCGGCCCGACUGGUCCGGUA